AUAUGUUCUUUAAAGUUUAUCCAGGAAGUUGUACAGUUUGUGUUUGAUGGGAUUGAGACCUUUCCGCUGAUUGCCGAUUGCUACGACAGUUCCGGCUUGUGACGUCUGCUCCAGAGGGUCGCCUGAUAGAAGUUGCCAAUGAUCAAAUACAUAUUGGGGAAAAGCCUGUCCACCUGUUUGUCCUCUCAACUCCUCUGCGAAACC